UACGUAGGGUGCAAGCGUUGUCCGGAAUUAUUGGGCGUAAAGAGCUCGUAGGCGGCUUGUCGCGUCGAAUGUGAAAACCCACGGCUCAACUGUGGGCUUGCAUUCGAUACGGGCAGGCUAGAGUUCGGUAGGGGAGACUGGAAUUCCUGGUGUAGCGGUGAAGAUGCGCAGAUAUCAGGAGGAACACCGGUGGCGAAGGCGGGUCUCUGGGCCGAUACUGACGCUGAGGAGCGAAAGCGUGGGGAGCGAACAGG
rnacentral:rRNA from 1 species